GACAGAGGUGCCGAGCGUUAGGCGGAAUCACUGGGCUUAAAGCGUGUGUAGGCGGCCACGUAAGUCGGAUGUGAAAGCCCCAGGCUCAACCUGGGAAGUGCACUCGAUACUGCGUGGCUUGAGUAUCGGAGAGGUUGGUGGAAUUCUCGGUGUAGAGGUGAAAUUCGUAGAUAUCGAGAGGAACACCGGUGGCGAAGGCGGCCAACUGGACGAAUACUGACGCUGAGACACGAAAGCGUGGGGAGCAAACAGG
rnacentral:rRNA from 1 species